GUAGGGAAUCUUCCACAAUGGGCGCAAGCCUGAUGGAGCAACACCGCGUGAGUGAAGAAGGGUUUCGGCUCGUAAACUCUGUUGUUGAAGAAGAACGUGCAUGAGAGUAACUGUUCAUGCAGUGACGGUAUUCAACCAGAAAGUCACGGCUAACUACGUGCCAG
rnacentral:rRNA from 1 species